CCUACGAGUGGCAGCAGUGGGGAAUAUUGGACAAUGGGGGAAACCCUGAUCCAGCGACGCCGCGUGAGUGAAGAAGUAUUUCGGUACGUAAAGCUCUAUCAGCAGGAAAGAAAAUGACGGUACCUGACUAAGAAGCACCGGCGAACUACGUGCCAGCAGCCGCGGUAAGACGUAGGGGGCAAGCGUUAUCCGGAUUUACUGGGUGUAAAGGGAGCGUAGACGGCAGCGCAAGUCUGGAGUGAAAUGCAGGGGCCCAACCCCGGAACUGCUCUGGAAACUGUGAAGCUGGAGUGCAGGAGAGGUAAGCGGAAUUCCUGGUGUAGCGGUGAAAUGCGUAGAUAUCAGGAGGAACACCGGCGGCGAAGGCGGCUUACUGGACUGUAACUGACGUUGAGGCUCGAAGGCGUGGGGAGCAAACAGGAUUAGAUACCCCUGUAGUC
rnacentral:rRNA from 1 species